rnacentral:lncRNA from 1 species
CCGGAAAUUAAAAGAAAAUGUAUAUAUUAAAAAGUUCUAAGUGCGGAAGCGAAAUAAAAAUUCUGAUUAACAUCCCUUACACAAUAACUAAAAACGUAUUUAACAUAUGAAAGAAUAACUAACUGAAGUAAACACUAGUAAUGAAUGCAAUAAAUAAAUCUAUGAAAUUCUUAGUCAUUUACUCGCCGUCUUCCUGCGGGACGGGCUCGGGAACCAAGUCCUCCUGAUCUGAAAUGGUUAAGUAAGGAAUGAGCUACACUAGCCCAGUAAAGACAUCACACUAUCUCACUGCCACAGGAGUAAAAGCUGGUAGAAAACAAAAACGACCAAUGGAGCAUAAUUUAUAGCAAACUCAUUUAUCAAUAAUAAAAAUCUUUACUGUCCACUUACCUCGGUGAGAUUCAUGAAAACAAUUUAUGAAAUACAAUAACAUCAUAAAUGUCAUAAAAUCAUGCACACUUUGUAACAUAACACAUAUUAAACUCUCAUUUUUCAAUCAUCAGACAACAAUUUUCCUCUUUUAUCAGCCUACUAGUAUCCAUGGGGAUCCAUAGGGGGUUCCCGCUACACGUGAACUAUUCACAUUAAUAACUUGAUUCCAGGGCCGUCCCCAUACCCCGUCCGGUAUGGGUGCCAAAAUACAUAAGGUCUCCAUACCCCGUCCGAUAUGAGAGACCACGUUUCCGAUAGGGUUCCCUAAAAUAAUUUUCAAUCAAUUCCCAAAAAUAAUUUUAUCCAAUUUUAUCAUUAUUAUUAUUAUUUAUUUCUAUUAAAUUAAUAAAUUAAACAUAUAAUUAUUACAAAAUAAAUUAACUAUUAAAAAAUAAAAUAAAAUCCAAAAAAAAAUUCCAAUACAAAAAUAAAAAUACUUUUGGGGUGUUACAACUCUACCCCCCUUAAGGAAAUUUGGUCCCCCAAAUUUGCCUCUUGCUCUUGAUCGAACAAAUGGGGAUACUGGGCUCUAAAGUCUGAUUCUAGCUCCUAGGUAGCCUCCCUUGGCAUGUGGUUUUGCCACACGACCUUUACAAAUGAUAUUUUUUGGUUGCGGAGUAUCCUGCUCUUUCGGUCCGUGAUACCGGCUGGUACUUCUUUAUAAGAUAAGUCCUUUUGGAGUGGAAGCGGUUCAUGAGCCAAGACAUGAGAUGGGUCCGGGUUGUACUUACGUAGCAUGGAUACGCGGAACACAUUGUGGACCUUGGAGAGCUUUGGAGGCAGUGCUAGUCUGUAGGCAACAGUAUCAAUCCUGUCUAAGAUUUCAAAAGGUCCAAUAAAUCAGGGGUUCAAUUUUUCCCUCCUGCCGAACCUACUAAUUCCCUUGAAAGGAGCCUUUCUCAAACGCUAGAUCUCUCCUCCGGGUGUCCGCAUAACUCUUCUGCCUACUCUGAGCCGUUUGAAUGUUCUUUCUGAUUUUAACUAUUUUAGACGUGGUCUCCUCUACCAACUCCAGGCCGAACAAUCUUCUAUCGCCCACUUCUUUUCCAACAAAUCGGUGAUCUGCAUGGGCGCCCAUAUAACGCCUCAUAUGGAGCCAUGCCGAUGCUCGCUUGGUAGCUGUUGUUGUAGGCAAACUCUAUCAGGGGUAGAUGGUCGUCCCAAUGGCCCCUAGCGUUAAGGAAACAAGCUCGGAGCAUAUCUUCAAGUGUACGAAUUGUCCUUUCUGAUUGUCCAUCAGCUUGAGGAUGGAAGGCAGUACUAAGAGACAGCUUUGUUCCCAUGACUUGCUGAAAGCUACUCCAAAAUCGAGAAGUGAACCUGGGGUCCUUGUCGAAUACCACUGUCACUGGAACUCCAUGCAAUCUGACUAUUUCCUGGAUAUACAUUCUUGUCAACUUGUCCAAAGGGUCGGUCAUCUGAUGGUCAGAAGUGGGAAGAUUUGGUAAGCCGGUCAACGAUUACCCAGAUGGCGUCAUGUCUAAACGUGCUUGGGUAAUCCCGUUACGAAGUCCAUAGUGAUGUGUUCCCACUUCCACUCCGGGAUCGGUAAAGGCUGAAGUAGCCCACCUGGGCGCUGAUGCUCUACCUUGACCUGCUGACAAACCAAGUAUUUGGAUACAAAGUCGGCUAUGUCUCUCUUCAUCCCAUUCCACCAAAACCGGGGUCGCAUGCUUUGGUACAUUUUGGUGCUUCCGGGAUGCAUGGCAAACUUUGAGUUGUGGGACUCUAUCAUGAUGUCUCUCUUUAACUCACUGUCAUCUGAGACACACACCCUGUCUUGGAAACAGAGUAACCCAUCGGCAGAAAUUCAGAAUUCUGAGCUCACUCCCUGUUCUCAUCAUUCUUGUGGGCUACCAAGGCGGGGUCGACUGACUGGGCUUCCCUUAUUCUCUGGAUUAACUCGGGCUGGACUGUCAGGCGGCCCAAACAUGUGAUUCUCCUCAGGUUCUGAAGUCGAACCUGUUGUGUGGCCCCAAUUUACCUGAAUUCUGAAACCAUCAAAUGGGCUAAGAUACCUGCACUUUUCCUGCUGAGAGCGUCUGCUACCACGUUGCCCUUACCCCGAUGGUAUAAGAUAUUACAAUCAUAGUCUUUAAAGAGUUCCAUCCACCUUCUCUGACGCAUGUUGAGAUCAUUCUGAGUGAAUAUGUGUUUCAAACUCUUAUGAUCAAUAUAGAUCUGAAAGGUCUCUCCGUAUAAGUAGUGGCGCCAGGUUUUCAAGACGUGUAUGAUUGCAGCAAACUCUAAGUCAUGGGUGGGAUAAUUCUUCUCAUGAUUCUUUAACUGUCUGGACCCAUAUGCUAUGACAUUCCCAUGCUGCAUCAGGACACAACCCAGGCCUAGAUAGGAGGCAUCACUAUAAACUGUAUAUCCCCCCGAUCCACUCGGUAAAGCCAGUACGGGUGCAGUAGUCAGUCACUUCUUUAAUAAACUUCUUUCGCAAUCCUCAUUCCACUCAAACUUGGCAUUCUUCUUUGUGAGUCGGGUUAGAGGAGCUGCUAGGCUGGAGAAUCCUUCAACGAACCUGCGGUAAUAACCUGUCAUCCCCAAGAAGCUCUGGAUUUCCUUAACUGAUGUUAACUUCUCUCAGCCAAGUAUCGCUUCAACCUUUUUGGGAUUCACUGAUACUCCUUCCUUCGAUAUUAUGUGUCCUAGGAAGGCGGUUUGCUCAAGCCAGAAUCCACACUUACUCAACUUUGCAUAUAACUUCUUUUUUAUGAGGACUUGCAAAACUUGGCCAAGAUGGUGAGCAUGUUCUUCUCUGCUUUUUGAGUAGACCAAGAUGUCAUCGAUGAACACAAUAAAAAAUUGAUCCAAGAACUCUCUGAAGACCCAGUUCAUCAGAUCCAUAAAGAUUGUUGGGGCGUUGGUUAGCCCAAAUGGCAUGACCAGGAACUCAUAGUGUUUGUACCUGGUUCGAAAGGCCGUCUUAGGGAUGUCUUCUGUUCUUAUCUUCACCUGAUGGUAACCUGAUCGCAGGUCUAUUUUAGAGAAGACCUGUGCACCCUGUAACUGAUCGAAGAGGUCAUCAAUCCUGGGAAGGGGAUAUUUGUUCUUAAUUGAACCUUGUUCAAUCCUCUGUAAUCAAUACACAGUCUCAAUGUUCCAUCUCCCUUCUUGGAAAAAGUGACUCCGGCACCCAAAGGGACACACUGUGUCUAAUAAAACCACUGUUUUGCAAUUCAGUGAUCUCUUUCCUCAGCUCUUCCAUCUCAAUGCGGCUCAUGCGGUAAGGAGCAACCGAAAUGGGCUGGGUGCCUGGCUGUAGGUCUAUAGUGAACUCGACUUCCCUGUCCACUAGUCCGGGUAGUUCGUCCGGAAACACAUCUGGAAAGUCUCAGACUACCAAAAUCUCUUGGAUACAAAUUUUCUUAUUGGGCUUGCCUAGUUAGAGAAAAUAGCAAGAUUAAGGUACUUAAAAUUUAAGGAAACUUGCCAUCAAGGAAUAAGUACUAGAUGAUUUUAUUAAUUUGUAAAUGGCUCAUCAUUAGGAGGAUUAAAUACAACCUUCUUGUUAAAGCAAUCUAUGGUGGCGUGAUAAGCCGCUAGCCAAUCCAUCCCUAAGAUUACAUCAAAAUCUCUCAUGUCUAACCCUAUCAGGUCUACACUCAGUUUUUUAUUUGCUAUCUCCACGGCACAAUCCCUGUGGACAACUUUCCCUAAUAGUGUUUCACCCCCAGCAGUAGACACAAAUAAUAUUGAAUCAAGUUCAUCAAGUAAUACAUUAAAUUUGGAUGCAAAAACAUGUGAAACAAAUGAAUGUGAUGCACCAGUGUUAAACAAAACAUGAGCAAUAUGGUUACAGAUAGUGUACAUACCCUGUACCACGUCCGGGUUGGCAUUGGCAUCCUGCUGAGUGAGGUUGUAAAUCCUGUCCUGAAUAGGAGGUCUUCCUUAAUUCUGGUUCCUCGGGCACUCUCUCGCAUAGUGCUGGGCACUGCCACAUAUGCAACAGGUAUUGUUGAGGCGGUAGCAUGGUCGGUCCCCGUGAUCCCUGCCACAGUGCUACAGAUCUUUCCACGUCCUGCCCCUAGAGCGUAAGGAGGGGCCUGGAUCACUGGUCUGGGCCUCUUAUUUGGUUGGACCGGCGCAGUAGGUGCUGGUCUGUAGGGUGGAGCUGAGGGUCGGUAACUCCCUGCUGACUGAGGACAGGUGUUGAAACUCCUCUCCACAAUCUGCGCUUUUGCUAGAACGAUUGAGUAUAUCUUGAGCUCCAGUACCAAUAAGUGUUGCUUGAUCUCUGAGCGGAGGCCCCACUGAAAUCUCAUGGCCUUCCUGCCCUCAUCCAUCAAUGUCUCCGGGGAGUAUCGGCCCAGCUCUAGGAACUUACGAGCAUAUUCCGAUACCAUCAUGUUUCCCUGGACCAGCUGAACAAACUCCAUCUCCUUUAAGUGUCGAAUGUGCUCAGGGUGAUACUCCGCAUGGAAGGCAGCUAAGAACUGCUCCCAAGUGGCUGGUGUAGGUAGGGUGGUCUGCUUGAGCUCCUACCAACAACCUGCUUCCCUUACCAGCAUGUAGGAAGCAAGGGCAGCUCUCUGCUCAAGAACCACUCCCAAGGUCUUGAAAGCUCUCUCAGUCUCCGCCAACCAGUACUGGGCAUCUUCGAAAGAGGAUCCUUCUGUAAAAGUGGAAGGGUUCAGUCUCCUGUACCUCUCUAUGUAGCCUAGGUCGAUCAAAGAAGGAGCUGGGUCCCGUGGAAGAGGGACUGGGCCCGGCUGGGGAUAGACUAGGGGGCCCUGUGGUGGCACCUGCUGAUAUAGUGGGGGCACCGGAUUGUACUGUGGCGGUACCGGACAGUUUGGUGGUUGGGGCACCGAUUCACACUGCGACGGUGGUGCUGGGUGGUACUGUGGUGGAGCAGGCUCGUGCCGGGGUGGCUCGGGAUUCGCUUGCUGUAGCGGUGGCUCAACCUGUGGUAUUGGGGGAGGUUCGGGUAACUCCCUUCUCUCCUCUCGACCUUGCUGGGCAGCAAUGAUCCUUUCCAGCAUCUCAAAUAUUCUGUCCACAUCUUUCCGAAGCAAAUCAUCCCGGGCUGCUCGGUUUAGUAGGGGUCUUCCUCUCUUUAUUUCUCUGCACCUGCAUUUCACAAGGAAGGGUUGAGUAACGAUUUAUCAAUGGGUAUUUCUCUAAGCACUAUUCUGUAAGGGAUGAGUCCGAGGAACACAGCUCUGAUACCAACUGUAACGGCCCCGGAAAUUAAAAGAAAAUGUAUAUAUUAAAAAGUUUUAAGUGCGGAAGCGAAAUAAAAAUUCUGAUUAACAUCCCUUACACAAUAACCAAAAACGUAUUCAACGUAUGAAAGAAUAACUAACUGAAGUAAACACUAGUAAUGAAUGCUAUAAAUAAAUAUAUGAAAUCCUUAGUUAUCUACUCGCCGUCUCUGCGGGACGGACUCGGGAACCAAGUCCUCCUGAUCUGAAAUGGUUAAGUAAAGAAUGAGCUACACUAGCCCAGUAAAGACAUCACACUAUCUCACUGCCACAUGAGUAAAGGUUGGUAGAAAACAAAAACUAUCAAUGGAGCAUAAUUUAUAGCAAACUCAUUUAUCAAUAAUAAAAAUAUUUACUGUCCACUUAUCUCGGUGAGAUUCAUGAAAACAAUUUAUGAAACACAAUAACAUCAUAAACAUCAUAAAAUCAUGCACAUUUUGUAACAUAACACAUAUCAAACUCUCAUUUUUCAAUCAUCAGACAAUAAUUUUCCUCUUUUAUCAGCCUACUAGUAUCCAUGGGGAUCCAUAGGGGGUCCCCGCUACACGUGAACCAUUCACAUUAAUAACUUGAUUCUAGGGUCAUCCCCAUAUCCCGUCCGGUAUGGGUGCCAAAACCAUAAACCUCAAUACCCCGUCCGGUAUGAGGGUAAAACGACCCGUCCCCAUACCUCAUCCAAUAUGGGCGCCAAAACACAUAAGGUCUCCAUACCCUGUCCGAUAUUAGAGACCACGUUUCCGGUAGGAUUUCCUAUGGAUCCGGUCUGUCCACUAUCUCCCAAGAUAUUUAGUUAGGCUGUCGACAUUAUACAUUUAUCAAUUCACAUAACUUUUUUUAUUUUUCUCGGUCUCAAUUAUCCAAUCAAACAUAAACACAUAAACUAGUAAUGAACACCAAACAAAGCAACACAAUAUCGGGUUCACCAUAAUUCAAACCACAAUAAAUGAAACUGGGAUACAUGCAUACGAAACCAUAAAAUAAAUACGUCCGAUACCAUACUGCAUUUAAAACUGUGAAAUAGAUCAAACAACAACUGACCGAAAAAUACAUCAGAUUUGGGCUCCAUUAGCAACCUUAAUUAAUUAUAUACAAUUCAUGAAAUAUCGUUUAUUCAUUUAUUGAGCUUUAAUACCGUUAUAGGAAAUAGAGUGAAAAAUUUUUACUUAUUUCGGAAUCUGAAAUCGAGUUCUCAUUGCGCUUACGGGCUGUCCUUAGAUUCCCUGAAUUUCUUUCCCCGGGAACCGAAAUACACUUCCGGUACAUACACAUGUCCCGAAAAAACUCAAAAACAAUCCCAAGGCCUACUCGGCCAUUUUUAGAACUCUGACACGGCGGUUCUGCCGUGCUUCGGCGACGGUGCCGUCGCUCGUGGCGGCGAUCUGCCUCGAGUUGGCCGUUUUUGACCGUUUUCGGUCGAAUUCGGCCAAACUUGCAUUGGUUCCUACGAUAAAACAACCAUAGGGCCCUCGGUGGGCUAAAAAUCACGAAAAAUCGAGACUUACCGGCGGCGGAGCUCUCGUGUGUGGCGGCUUCUCCGGCGCGAGUCCCGAUUCGAUGUUUUGCUCCGAUUAACCUGUAGAGAAAAGGAUGGUGAUCACAGUGGUGUAAAAAUUGGAUCGAAUGGGAACCGGGAAGGGCCUCAUCGGAGGCAAAAACUUAGGAAAGUCGCGGUGGCGCCGCUGGGCUUCGACAGUAUUUUUUUAUUGAUUGACCGGUGGUUUGGUUCCGAUUUGGCCACAGAUAGAUUCAGCAUCGAAAAACAAGCCAAAGAGAGAAAUUUUACCUCGUUUGGCGGUCGAAAAAUCCUUNNNNNNNNNNNNNNNNNNNNNNNNNNNNNNNNNNNNNNNNNNNNNNNNNNNNNNNNNNNNNNNNNNNNNNNNNNNNNNNNNNNNNNNNNNNNNNNNNNNNNNNNNNNNNNNNNNNNNNNNNNNNNNNNNNNNNNNNNNNNNNNNNNNNNNNNNNNNNNNNNNNNNNNNNNNNNNNNNNNNNNNNNNNNNNNNNNNNNNNNNNNNNNNNNNNNNNNNNNNNNNNNNNNNNNNNNNNNNNNNNNNNNNNNNNNNNNNNNNNNNNNNNNNNNNNNNNNNNNNNNNNNNNNNNNNNNNNNNNNNNNNNNNNNNNNNNNNNNNNNNNNNNNNNNNNNNNNNNNNNNNNNNNNNNNNNNNNNNNNNNNNNNNNNNNNNCAAGCAGAAGCGUCGUUCAAGUGUGGUGAUUUUUUAUUUGGUUUCUGAAGCUAGGUACAACAAUUUGGAAGCUGGAUUUCCCAGUCAAGAGUGAUCUUAGGACAUCUAAGAACUAAAUGAAAUAAUUUAAAAGAGUAAGAAAAGACUUACCUCAUCAAGAAGAAGAAAUUUCCUCCUCGAACACGCACACAGAACACACGUUCUGUUCUGGUGCGCUGCAACCUUUCUGGUUGCAGUUUUGGAUUUCUACUUCACUCCUCACACACUCUUUUGUCGAUGUUUUGGUUCAAGAUUAAAGGAAAACAAAAUUGUGAAGAGAAGUGGAGCCUUUUAUCUAAAUCAACUCAGCAUCUCAGCCAUCCAAACACAUGCACAACUUCUUAGCUGUUGAUGUGUUGAAUGGCUAACACAGCAGAGGAAGACGGUCGCUUCUCUUGACACCAGGCCGAUCAGGAUAGUUGCUCACUUGGUGGCUGAGUUCUGGCCACAAUUGGGAAGAUAAGUGAUGUCAAAUCAGGGGCACCGAUCUACCCCAGAAUGCUGAUCGGUUAAAGGAGUUCCUCUCCCUCUCGAUGGUUAGUUUUCUUUUUAAUUUUAAUUUCCUUACCUCUGUUUUAUUUCAU